rnacentral:rRNA from 1 species
AUUGAACGCUGGCGGCAGGCCUAACACAUGCAAGUCGAGCGAGCGGCGGACGGGUGAGUAAUAUAUGGGGACUGCCCGAUAGAGGGGGAUAACUACUGGAAACGGUGGCUAAUACCGCAUACUAUCGGAGACCCCAUAUCGGAUUAGCUAGUAGGUGGGGUAAAGGCUCACCUAGGCGACGAUCGCUAGCGGGUUUGAGAGGAUGAUCGGCCACGCUGGUGCGUGGAUACGGCCCAGACUCCGACGGAGGCAGCAGUGGGUAAGAUUGCACAAUGGGCGAAAGCCUGAUUCAGCCAUGCCGCGUGUAUGAAGAAGGCCUUAGGGUUGUAAAGUACUUUCAGCGGGGAGGCGUUAACCGCAGAAUAAGCACCGGCUAACUUCGUGCCAGCAGCCGCGUUAAUUC